rnacentral:rRNA from 1 species
GGCUUAGAGUUUGAUCAUGGCUCAGGAUGAACGCUGGCGGCGUGCUUAACACAUGCAAGUCGAACGAAGCUUGAUUCCGGAUCUUUCGGGAGAAGGAUGAUAUGACUGAGUGGCGGACGGGUGAGUAACGCGUGGGCAACCUGCCUCAUACAGGGGGAUAACAGUCAGAAAUGACUGCUAAAACCGCAUAAGACCACAGCACCGCAUGGUGGAGUGGUAAAAACUCCGGUGGUAUGAGAUGGGCCCGCGUCUGAUUAGCUGGUUGGUGAGGUAACGGCUCUACCAAGGCAACGAUCAGUAGCCGGCUUGAGAGAGUGGACGGCCACAUUGGGACUGAGACACGGCCCAAACUCCUACGGGAGGCAGCAGUGGGGAAUAUUGCACAAUGGGGGGAACCCUGAUGCAGCGACGCCGCGUGAGUGAAGAAGUACUUCGGUAUGUAAAGCUCUAUCAGCAGGGAAGAAAAUGACGGUACCUGACUAAGAAGCCCCGGCUAACUACGUGCCAGCAGCCGCGGUAAUACGUAGGGGGCAAGCGUUAUCCGGAAUUACUGGGUGUAAAGGGUGCGUAGGUGGCAGGGCAAGUCAGAAGUGAAAACCCGGGGCUUAACUCCGGGACUGCUUUUGAAACUGUCCAGCUGGAGUGCAGGAGAGGUAAGCG